UACGUAGGGUGCAAGCGUUAAUCGGAAUUACUGGGCGUAAAGCGUGCGCAGGCGGUUAUGUAAGACAGAUGUGAAAUGCCCGGGCUUAAUCUGGGAACUGCAUUUGUGACUGCAUGGCUAGAGUUUGGCAGAGGGGGGUAGAAUUCCACGUGUAGCAGUGAAAUGCGUAGAUAUGUGGAGGAACACCGAUGGCGAAGGCAGCCCCCUGGGUCAAGACUGACGCUCAUGCACGAAAGCGUGGGGAGCAAACAGG
rnacentral:rRNA from 1 species